ensembl:lncRNA
GCAACAAAUGGCUUGUUUGUAAUGGAUUUUAUUGUUUUUGUCUCGCCGCACGCCGGUGUUCUGACCGGGACACACAUCACAGUAUGGUGAGGGCCGUAACAUUUCCGUCACACGCUUGAGGCAUUCAGCCAAUGACAACACACCUCGCUUUUCAGAACGAUGAGAUUUUUAAAAAUCUACGUUUCAGAAAGGCGGGGCAUAGAGGAGAAACAAUAAUGUACAGUAUGUGGAAAAUAAUGUUUUGUUUUUUUUUUACCUUAAACCGCAUGAACACAUUUAAUAAAACCAAAUACACAAAAUAAUGUUCUUUUUAGCAACAUCAUAUGACCCCUUUAACAGUGUUGUUCAAUAAAACCAUGCACUUGGUUGUGAUACUUUAUUUGAGGCCAGUUAUCAUUGCCUCGUUGUUACUUUAUAUAUAAAUAUAGUCAUAUUAAAGCCUGUUUUUCCACUUAGUUCUAUUUGUAUUACUAAAACAUAUAUCAGAUUACUCACUUGUCAAAAUAAUCAGAUUACUUGAUUAGCAAAAUAAUCAUUAGUUAAGGCCUAGAUUAGUUAAAACACUUCAAAAUACAACUGCCUUGUUUUACUUUUUGUCAAGUCAAGUCAAGUCAAGUUACUUUUAUUGUCACAUCAUCACCACAGCACAUGUGCCUUGGUGAGUGGAAUUCUUGGGAGCAUGCUCCAGAAAUUGCAGAAACAGUUAACAUAUAACCAUACAGACUUCAACAGGUGAAAAUGUGCAAUAUGCACAUACAUAUAGUCAGUACACACAGUGUACUAUUAGACAUACUUACAGUUAGCACUACACAUUUUACGCAAUAUGUACAUACAUACAGUUAGCACUACACAUUAUACACUAUACACAGAAUGUACACAUUGUACAUUAUGUAAACAUAUAUACGCAUGAAAAUAUGCUAAGGUGCAACAGAGUGUACGUGGGCUGGAUACAGAAUGUCAUGGAUGUGCAUCGGAUGGUUUCCAGUGGUAGCAGGUAGAUUAUUGUAUUAAAUGCAGUGUGUAUGUAUAGUUCGGUGUUGAACUGUUAAAGUUAAAGUGCAGUGUGUGGCAUACCAUAUUUUGGGAGUAUGCUGUAGGGUAUAUUAGUUCUGACUGUUCAUUAGUCUGAUAGCCUGAGGGAAAAAGCUAUCCCUCAGUCACCUAGUGCGGGAUCGCAUACUGUGGAGACGUUUUCCUGAGCGCAGCAGAGAGAGCAGUCUGUGGGACGGAUGGCUGGAGUCACUGAUGAUCCUCCGGGAUUUCCUUAUACACCGCCUGGUGUAGAUGUCCUGGAGGGAGGGAAGCUCACCUCCAACAAUGUGGAUGGCAGUUUCAGAGCUUUGCGGUUGCCAGCGGUGCUGUUUCCAAACCAGGUGAGAUCCUCACUGAUGUUAAUGUUGAGGAACUUGAAGCUGCUUACCCACUCCACAGGUGUCUUGUCGAUGGUGAUGGGUUUGUGUUCUCUGCUCUGUCUCCUGAAAUCCACCACCAGCUCCUUGGUCUUGUCGAUGCUGAGUGAGAGGUGGCUCUCCUGACACCAUUUAGUCAGGGUGCUCACCUCCUCUCUGUAGGCCGUCUCAUCAUUGUCGGUGAUCAGGCCUAUCACCGUUGUGUCAUCAGCGAAUUUGACGAUGACAUUGGAGCUGUGUUGGAGGCUGUACAGUCAUGUGUGUACAGGGAGUACAGGAGCGGGCUGAGGACACAGCCCUGAGGAGCACCAGUGUUGAGGGUCAGCGGGGAUGAUGUGUAGUUGCCCAUUCUGACUGUCAGGAAGUCCAGGAUCCAGCUGCACAGAGAUCUGUUUAGUCCCAGAGUCUGGAGCUUGGCAACAAGUGUGGCAGGCACUAUGGUGUUAAAUGCUGAGCUUUAGUCCACAAACAGCAUUCUCACAUAGGUGUUCUUAUUUUCCAGGUGGGAGAGAGCAGUGUGUAGGGUGAAAGCAAUAGCAUCGUCUGUAGAACGGUUGCUGCGAUAUGCAAAUUGUAGCGGAUCCAAUGAGGCAGGCAGAAAAGAGCAGAUGUAAUCUCUGACGAGUCUCUCAAAACACUUACUGAAGAUGGUUGUGAGAGCAACGGGCCUCCAGUUAUUCAAGCAUGUGAUUUUGUUUUUCUUUGGUAUGGGCACAAUGGUGGAUUUUUUGAAGCAUGAGGGAACCACAGACAGACAGAGGGAGAGGUUGAAAAUGUCUGUGAAAACAUCAGCUAGUUGGAAUGUACAUGCUCGGAUCACACGGCCUGGGAUGCCAUCAGGACCCGCAGCCUUGCGGAUAUUCACCCGUCGGAAGGAUCGGGUUACAUCCGCGAAAGAGACAGAGAGAGCACUCAAAUCUUCUGCAGCAGCUGCGGGAGCGCUCU